GGUGACCUCGGAUCAGGUAGGGAUACCCGCUGAACUUAAGCAUAUCAAUAAGCGGAGGA
rnacentral:rRNA from 1 species